rnacentral:rRNA from 1 species
CAGUCGCCGCGGGAACACGUAGGUGGCAAGCGUUGUCCGGAAUUAUUGGGCGUAAAGGGCUCGCAGGCGGUUUCUUAAGUCUGAUGUGAAAGCCCCCGGCUCAACCGGGGAGGGGCAUUGGAAACUGGGAAACUUGAGUGCAGAAGAGGAGAGUGGAAUUCCACGUGUAGCGGUGAAAUGCGUAGAGAUGUGGAGGAACACCAGUGGCGAAGGCGACUCUCUGGUCUGUAACUGACGCUGAGGAGCGAAAGCGUGGGGAGCGAACAGGAUUAGAUACCCCUGUAGUCCCUGUCUCUUAUAC